rnacentral:misc_RNA from 1 species
GAUGAAGAACGUAGCGAAAUGCGAUAAGUAAUGUGAAUUGCAGAAUUCAGUGAAUCAUCGAAUCUUUGAACGCACAUUGCGCCCGCUAGUAUUCUGGCGGGCAUGCCUGUCCGAGCGUCAUUUCAACCCUCAAGCCCCCGGGCCUGGCGUUGGGGAUCGGCGGAGCCCCCCGUGGGCACACGCCGUCCCCCAAAUGCAGUGGCGGUCCCGCCGCAGCUUCCAUCGCGUAGUAGCUAACACCUCGCGACUGGAGAGCGGCGCGGCCACGCCGUAAAACACCCAACUCUUCUGAAGUUGACCUCGAAUCAGGUAGGAAUACCCGCUGAACUUAAGCAUAUCAAUAAGCGGAGGA